AGUAUUGGGUUGGCCAAAAAGUUAGUUCGAGUUUUUCAUAACAUCUUACAGAAAAACCCAAACGAACUUUUUGGAUAACUCAAUACUA
rnacentral:miRNA from 1 species